AUUCUCCUAGCGCUUGUCGUACGUAAACAUUACACUGACCCCCGGCUAAAACUCUGGAUUUCGAUACUACCUUCUUUAUCUGUUUGACUUGGCACUGAACUUUGGACUUAGUAUUUUCGUUUGUGAUUGGAAUUGUUGGUUUGAGUGGAAUAGUGGAUACUAUUUCAGUGAAGUGGUUUUCAUUGAGUGCAAAACACGUGUGGAAAACAAUAAGAAACAAGAAACAAUGGAUUCAAAAACUUGGCGAAUGGGGCAAAAAGGGCGUCUAAAACUAAGCGCCCGCAGGAAGAAGCUCAAAAGAUCAGCGAGAGGAUAUUUCAUGAAUAAAGAAAAUAUUCCUCCAGUGCAUGAUACGUUCCAACAAUCACUUCAAGAAGCAAUUUCGCCGCCUUUGUCGCAUUUGCCGCAAACACCGCGGUCGGCGUUUUUGAGAAUGUAAACAAACAGAAGAAAGCAACCUUAUUUCUAAAGGAAUAAAGUAUUAUUUUUAUA
rnacentral:misc_RNA from 1 species